ensembl:snoRNA SNORA70 Small nucleolar RNA SNORA70
GUACCCAUAAGGGCCCAGGGUGUAGUGGCUACAAACAGCAGCCUCCUUGAUAGUAUAUGCAGCCUGUUGCUAUUCAGGUUGCCCUAAGGGACCUUGGAGACAGAC